GUCGAACGGUAACAUUUCUAGCUUGCUAGAAGAUGACGAGUGGCGGACGGGUGAGUAAUGCUUGGGAACUUGCCUUUGCGAGGGGGAUAACAGUUGGAAACGACUGCUAAUACCGCAUAAUGUCUUCGGACCAAACGGGGCUUCGGCUCCGGCGCAAAGAGAGGCCCAAGUGAGGUUAGCUAGUUGGUAAGGUAACGGCUUACCAAGGCGACGAUCUCUAGCUGUUCUGAGAGGAAGAUCAGCCACACUGGGACUGAGACACGGCCCAGACUCCUACGGGAGGCAGCAGUGGGGAAUAUUGCACAAUGGGGGAAACCCUGAUGCAGCCAUGCCGCGUGUGUGAAGAAGGCCUUCGGGUUGUAAAGCACUUUCAGUUGUGAGGAAAAGUUAGUAGUUAAUACCUGCUAGCCGUGACGUUAACAACAGAAGAAGCACCGGCUAACUCCGUGCCAGCAGCCGCGGUAAUACGGAGGGUGCGAGCGUUAAUCGGAAUUACUGGGCGUAAAGCGCACGCAGGCGGUUUGUUAAGCUAGAUGUGAAAGCCCCGGGCUCAACCUGGGAUGGUCAUUUAGAACUGGCAGACUAGAGUCUUGGAGAGGGGAGUGGAAUUCCAGGUGUAGCGGUGAAAUGCGUAGAUAUCUGGAGGAACAUCAGUGGCGAAGGCGACUCCCUGGCCAAAGACUGACGCUCAUGUGCGAAAGUGUGGGUAGCGAACAGGAUUAGAUACCCUGGUAGUCCACACCGUAAACGCUGUCUACUAGCUGUGUGUGCCUUUAAGGCGUGCGUAGCGAAGCUAACGCGCUAAGUAGACCGCCUGGGGAGUACGGCCGCAAGGUUAAAACUCAAAUGAAUUGACGGGGCCCGCACAAGCGGUGAGCAUGUGAUUAUUCGAUGCACGCGAGACCUUACCUACACUUGACAUGCUGAGAGU
rnacentral:rRNA from 1 species